ensembl:lncRNA
UUCAUUCUACAAGGAACCAUUUAAAAUGCUGAAGAUGUCUCUGAGACUCCCCCGGGGCCUUCAAAUAAGCACCAGCGGGAGAUCAUUUGUUUAUGCAUCUCAACAGGUCCAAGGCCAGCGGUUUAACAUACGCUUCUGGCAUGUGUGCGCUGAGAUGCUGGACCAGAGGAGGACAGACAUGCUGUACGGACAUGCUGUCUCUCCACUACUCACAGUUUGCAUUCAUGCUGUCAAUGUACCAGACCAGGCAAUCUGAACCAGUUGGUCUGAAAACAGUGUAUCUGGAGUGUAAAAGGGAUCAACAAGUAUAUGGACAAAUCCACAACAAUGUUAGCCAUGCCCAGCAAAUCUGCAUUCAUGCUCUCAACAUACCAGACUGGCCCUGUGGCGAUUGUAACUGAGAACAGAAUGUUCCUGCUACACGGAUUAGUCGACUUGACAAUUUCAGGGAAUGCCAUUUUAACCACAAAAUAAUAUUAAUCGUCUUUACUCCACUCCUCCCUGUAUUUCCUCAGCUCUUUUACUUCCUUCUGUAACUGAGUUUUCUCCUGCUCCAAGCUGUCCAACUUACUUAUCAGUUAAUUGCAUUCUGUGUUGCGCUUGUCCAGCUCCCUUAGAAGAAAGUCUACUUGAAGAGCCAUUUCAUCAUCUACAUUUUCAAAAUCAUUUGUUGUUGAUUUGUGUGUGUGAUUAUUUCUGCAGUGUUACUCAUCUUGCAUUUCACAUCAGUAACGCUCUGUUCCCUUCCUUUAGCAUCAUUCUCAAUCAAGCCACAGCCCAGAUAGGAGCGUCUCCGUGGAGAGACAGGUGAUGUGUGUGUGUGUGUGUGUUUUAUAUAUAUAGAUAUGAUCUGAAGCCUGUGAAGAUGCAACAAAGCUGCUGCCUAGGGGUAGGGUGACCAAACGUCCUGGUUUUCACAUCAUGUCCUGGCAUGUAUAGAUAGUAUUUUGUAAUAUAAGAUUUUCAGUAAAACUUUACAAUAAGGUUCAUUUAUUAAACAUUAAUGUAUUAACUAACAUGAACUAACAAUGAGCAAUACAUUUGUUACAGUAUUAAUUUUUGUUAAUGUUAGUUAAUAGAAAUAAAGCUGUUCAUUGUUUGUUCA